GCGCCGAAUGAGUUGAGCAAGCUUGGCAUAAGCGUGAUAUUGUCAAGUUUGCAAAACAAAAACUAACUUUCAGAAUCUGAAAACUCUUCUGUAUGUUUAUAUUUACAACGAAAUGAGACUGUACCUAAUAUUUCAGAAAUAUGUUUACCUUACUGCGUGGUUUAAAUCAAAAUCUUCAGUACGUUGACAGAAGAAAUAACAAUCUUAAAGACAUUCCGGAUGAAAUUUUAGCAUCAAAAAACUUAGAGGAAUUACUUUUGGAUUCCAAUCACAUCAGACAGUUGCCUAAGGGACUAUUCCGUUUACCCAGACUUAAGACUCUCACCUUGAGUGAAAAUGAAAUCUUUCACCUUCAGCCUGAAAUCGGGAGCUUGUCAACUCUUACAGAACUUGAUAUUAGUAAAAAUGAUUUAUAUGAUAUUCCUGAAAAUAUUAAAACUCUAAAACAGCUGCAAGUUGCAGAUUUCAGUUCAAACCCUUUAAAAAAAAUUCCCUCUUGUAUUGUAUACCUUCAAAACUUAACAGAUUUGAAGCUAAAUGAUGUCAAUCUAACGGAACUGCCUUCUGAUUUUGGACGACUUGUUAAUUUGAGAGUUUUGGAACUUCAUGAUAAUAUGCUAAAAGAGCUCCCAUCCUCCUUUGUUUCCCUGAAAAAUCUAGAAUGCAUUGAUCUAGCAAGCAAUAUGUUUGAAGAAAUGCCUUCAUGUUUGUGCCAACUCUCAAAGUUGCAGGAGCUUUGGCUUGAUUCCAAUGAAAUAUCUUCACUUUUACCGGAUAUUAAAAAACUUAAAAGUUUGAAAUGUCUUGAUAUUUCUGAAAAUGAGCUUGAAUUUCUUCCUGAAGAAAUAUAUGGUUUAGAAAAUCUCACAGAUUUGUAUAUUUCUCAAAAUUAUCUACAAUUACUUCCAAAUGGAAUUGGAAGCUUGAAAUCGCUUACAGUCUUCAAGGUUGAUGGUAACAGAUUACUCUCAUUACCUGUGAGCUUUGGAAAAUGCACUAACAUGCAGGAACUGGUGCUGAAAGAUAAUGAGUUAGCAUCCCUUCCAACUUCUAUUGGUUUACUAACAAAUCUGAAAACUCUUAUUGCAGAUUGCAAUAAAUUGAGUAGUCUUCCUGGUGAAAUAUCUCAACUAUCUGAAUUAACAUUGCUCUCAUUACGAGAUAAUUGCAUUUACUAUCUGCCAGAAAAUAUUGGUAUUAUGAAAAAUUUGCAAGUCUUGGAUCUUUGUGGCAAUAGGGUACAAUACCUUCCAACCAGCAUUAUGUUCCUGAAUUUAAAAGCCCUUUGGCUAUCAGAAAAUCAACAUCAACCUCUAUUAAAGUUCCAAACAGAUUAUGAUUGGAAGGCGCAAAGAAAUGUUAUGACCUGUUAUAUGUUACCACAGCAAGAUUAUGAUGUUGAUUAUUCAGUACAAACUGCAGAAGUUGAAGAAAAGAUUUUCCCUAACAACCCAAGAGUUGGAUUUGCUGUUGAAAGUGAUGAUGAAUUAGACAAAGAUGCAGAACUUGUUCGUCAUGGGACUCCAUAUCCUAAGGAUUUGAAAACUAGAGCAAUUAAACUUUUAUCAGCAAAGAAUAAAGUUGUGAAAAAUGGGGAUGAUGGUUGUGAGAAAAAUGAUCUUUUAAAUGGUAGUCAUAAGCCUGAUGUUUGGAAAUCAGAAGAAAAUCCACGAGUAUAUUCCACUUCACCUGUUGCAGAUUCUGGUGUAUCAAGUGCUGCUUCACCUGCUAAUAAUACUGCUGAUCAAAUAAAUUACAAUCAUCAAGCUUAUGCUCAAAAAAGUAAUGCUGCUAGCCUGGAAUCAAUGCGUGGCUUAAAGUCAAGUGCCAGCACUGAUAUUAGCCUUAAUGAACUGAUUGAUAAUUCAAGUGAAAAUUGUUUAUCCAUGAGCAAAGGAAGCAUUUCUUUUGAUUCAUCAAGUUUAUUAGGCUGCAGACUACCAGUUGGUAAUUUACAAUAUUAUUCCGAUGUUUACAAUAUUAUUGUUGAGAGAGAACCUACUGGCCUGGGUCUAAGUAUUGCUGGAGGGAAAGAAUCUACUCCAUACAAGGGGGAAGAUGAUGGAAUAUUUGUUUCUAAGAUCAUAAAAGGAGGACCUUCAGAUAAGGCUGGAUUAAAAGUAGAUGAUAAGAUUUUAAAGGUCAAUGAAAUACCAUUGCUGGAUAUUGACCAUUAUACUGCUGUUCAAAUCUUGAAAAAUGCAGGAAAUAGUAUAAAAUUCACUGUUCUUAGAGAGCGUGAGACAAACUUAAAAGAAAAGGAUUAUCUGCUUGCUAAUGUGCCAAAAGAUGUUGCAGAUUGCCAACAUAAUGCUAUUACUCAGAUGCAUAACAGCAUUGUAAGCCCAUCAGGAGAAUCAAAUAACAAGUUUAGAAUAGGAUAUCCUUCAGAAACUAUUAAUAAAGUUCCAGUUGUAAGUUAUAAUCCAUACUGUGACAAAGGAUCUGAUUUUCACCAAAUCUCCAAUGGACCAUCGUCUUCCUCCACAUUUCAGCAUGAAAAUAAACUGACAGCAUUUAUUCCUGAGAUGACAUCUACACCUACAGUUUUAUCUCGAGCUUCUAGUAAAAAUAUUCCUGAUGUUGUCCAACCGUCUACAAUAGACUCGGUUAUUCAAACAGCUGCAUAUGAUACUAAGGACAAAUAUGUUGGCCCUGUUGUUAAAGUCACGAUUCAAAAUCCACGUCCUUAUGUUCCUUUAUCACCAGAUUUACCUCCUCUCACCAAAAAUAUGGGUAAAUCUUUAGAGACUCUCACAAGGUCAUCUUACAGUGAAACCACUCUCACAAGACUCACUAAUAAUUCAUCAUCAUCAAAUAAGCUUUUAACAGAAGAAGUAGUUUUAGUAAGGUCUAAUGGAUCGCUUGGACUGAGCAUCAUGGGUGGUUGUGACCAAUCUUGCUUUCCAUUUGGUGAAAAUGAACCUGGUAUUUUUGUUUCUCGGAUUGCACCAAAUGGAAUAACUGCUAAAACAAAGAAAAUACGAGUUGGAGAUCGUAUUCUUAAAGUUAAUAAUAUUGAUUUAAAUAAAGCUACCCAUGCUGAAGCAGUAACUGUUCUAUGUGCUGCUGCUAAUGAAGUAAAACUCGUAAUACGCCAUGAUCCUCUGCCAACCGGAUGGCAGGAAGUAAAUAUUUUUAUGGAAGGUGAUGAAGUAUUAGGCAUUGAACUGGGAGGAGGCUUGAGUGGUAGCCAUGCAAAUCCUUAUGAUUACUUUGAUGAAGGAAUAUUUAUGACAAAGAUUCAUCCCAAUUCAGCUGCUGAGAGAAAUGGUAAACUAAAAAUUGGUAUGAGAGUUAUAGAGAUAUGCAGUAUUUCUGUUCUGGGUGCUACUCUUGAAGAAGCAUAUAAAACACUUGAAAGUAAUGCUGGAUCAGUAUCUAUAAUUGUAUGUGAUGGAUUUAAUUCACAUUUAGAUACAUCUUACUCCUGUUUACCUGCCUCAAGCUCAGUAACUAUCAAUUCAGUACCAUGCAUAGAUAGUGAUGAUGAGGCUGUUGAAAUAUUCCAUCCGUCGAAUGCAGACGUGUCCUGUGAUAAAAGUGUUGAUGAGAAGGUAUUGGAUGUCAUCAGAGCAGCAGAAAAUUUAGUAUCUCCUUCACCUCAGAUUUUUGUACAACCAACUUCUUCAUUGAAAAAGAAAAGAACUACGACCAUUGUUUUGUCAAAACAUGUUGUUCAUCAGCCAUCCCUGGAUGAAGGUUCUCAACCUCAAUCAUAUCUUCCAUAUGAAGUUUAAUGAAAUAUGAAUAAGAGCACAUCUUUUCACACUAUCAUUUUCAUGUUCAUUAAGCCAAGUGGUUACUGAAGACUGAGCAUUCCAUUUUUUUACUUUGAAUAAUAUCUAUAUAAGUUUGUUUAAUUUUUAAAUAUUUGAAGUAUCAUAUUAGACAGUUUUCUGUGUGCAAUUGUUUAUUACUAUUAAUAUAUUAUUCUCUUUCCAUUUUAUUUAAAUAUUAAGCUAUCUUAGAUUGAAAUAUAUUUUUAUGUUUUCUAUAGAUUUUUUUUUUCUGAUUAAUAUAUUUCUAUGUCUCUACAGUGAAAAAGUGUGUUGUAAAAAUUGUUAUUGAUUAUCAUUCUGUAUACUGAUUUUUAAAAAAAAUAUAUUAUCUUAUGUUUAAAACUAAUGUGUUAGGCUCUGUCUUUCAAGUAUGUGAAUUUGCAUUUUCUUCUCAUUUUUAAGAAAAUUAAGACUAACCGUGUUGAUUCUCUUGUCAUUUUAUUUUUUAGUUAUAUUGAAAAAAGUUAAUAUUUUCAGAUUUUUAAGAAUAUUGUUAAUGCUGAAAAUUUGAUUCUGAGAUCAAAUAAAUGUGAUAACUAUCAAAGAUAUUUGAAGUAAAUUUCUUAAAUCCAUCCUAUGUGGAAAAUCAGAUUAAAUUAUUAUAUCUUUGAGUUCUGAGUUUUUCUAAAUUUUAAUCUAAUUCUGCAAAUCCUUUUUUUUUUAUUAGAAAAUAUUACGUAACAAGAAUAACUCUAAACUAACAUUUUUUGUAAUUAAAGUAUUAAUUAUAUUUUAAAUUUCUCAAUUAUGAAUCAAAUUUUUCUAGUGGCCUAUUACAAAUUAUUAUUAUUAUGCUUAUAGUUUUGUCCAGUGUGCUUAUAUAUGCUGUUUAUUUCUAUAGAGUAAUAUUAUGCUAUAUGUGAUGGAGUAAAAAUGUCUAAAUGUUAAAAGUUUUGAAGUUUUCUUCUAUUAAGUUUAAAUGGAAUUCAAUAUACUAUUACAAAAUAUGUGUGCCUACUUUUUCCUCUUAAUUAGUAACUUUUCGCUGAAAAAUACUGAUUACAUCUUUCUUCCCAUCUCAUUAACAAAGCAGUUUCUCUGUAAAUUUAUUAAUUUUUUUUAAUUUCCUCAUUUAUUUUUAGAUACAUACCAGUUUUAAGACACUAAGAUGCCUUUGUGAUUAAGUGUAAAAAAUCUUUUUAACAAAAAAACUAAAGUAAUGAAUAAAAUGUUGACAUAUCUUUUUUUAACAAAAAAAAUUAUGUUCUAUUCCUUUUCUGAGCUGAAUUAUUGAAUGAAAAUAUCAAGCAUUGAAGAGUUUUGGAGUUUUUAACUUUUUCUUUCCUGAUAAUUAUCAAAUGUGUAAUAGUCUACCGGCCCAUUUUGUGAAUUUAAGAUGUUCCUGUUGCGCUCACACUACCUCACUCACAGUAUCUUCAUAACUGAUAAAAUGAAUAAUCUGAAAAUGAUAAACAUGACUGUAUGCUUGUUACAUUUUGAGAUUUGCUGUAAUCGUUUUCUAACAGCUGAAUGUUUAGUUCUGUCAAAAUAAACAUUGAAGAUGUAUCAAAUAUUGAAAAGCUAACAGAAGACACAACUAAAAGUGUGGUGAACAAAUUAAGAAGUUGUACUUUCUCUAUACCUGAGAAAUUCAGAAUGACAAAAUAUGUAUGCAACUAUUGCAACAAGGCUGUUUCUGGAGAACACUCUUUCAGCAUUUGCUAAGAAUUGCAAAUGAUAAUUUUUACCAAAUUUCUAUUUUUGAUUUAAACAUUAUAAUACUUUUUGAGUUACGCUAAUUUGUUUGAAAUAAAUUAAGAGAAUAUGCUUGUUUUUAAUUUUAAUUUACUAGUCGAAUGUUUAGUUACAGAUUUACAUAGAUUUAAGUUUAGUUGUUAAGGCUAAAGUUGCAUCUGGAUCUGGUGCAAUCAAAAUACACAUGCUUUGUGUCUGACAAAGCCUCAGAAAUUUUGAAAAAUUAUAUAAUUGUGUUUCAAUAACUAUGCAAUGUAACAUUCUCAUCAUAAAAUCAGUCAUUGAAUUUUAUAAUAUUUCCAUGAAAGAUAAGUGUGCAAAAAAUAAAAAUGUACAGGAGACUGUGUAAAUGAAGAAAGUUUCAGAUUUGAAAUAUGUACUUCUUUACAGAUGCACACUGUCUCAAAAGUGAUAAGAGAAAAGAAAAAUAAUUUAUCCUUGAAAAGAAAAUAAAGUCUGUAGUUAGGAGUUAACGAGAUUUUCUUUUGUUAUUAAUGAAUAAUUUAAUAUAUACUUUCGUGUAAAUGUAUUAGUUUUAUUUUUUUUUUAAUGAAAGCAUGUUUUCAUUAAAAAAUAUUUUUGUGAUUGAAAAAAUGUGUUGCACAUUUCUCUCCCCUAUUUUUAUGUCUGUUAUUAAAGGAUAAUUAAUAUUUUAUACAGUGGGACCUGUUUAUCUUGAAUCUUACUGGAAAGGUAAAAAGUUUGAGAUAUAGAGGCUUCGAGUUAUAGAGGUACUUUAAAGAUUUCAAUUUAAUUAAGAAAUUCUAUUAAAAGAUUCUAUUAUUUAAUUAAGAAAUUCUAUUAAAAGAUUCUAGUAUUUAAUUAUUUAAAAUUCUAUUAUUUAAUUAAGAAAUUCUAUUAAAUUUAUUGCAUUCUAUUCUUGCAAAUCUGGCACUGUAUUUUUAGCGUCAACAGUUUCUUCUUCUUUCUUGAUGCCUUCAACCUCUUAUUCAUCAUCUUCACAGCUAUUUUAAAACCAUUUUGGAUAAUUUUUAGAGACACAUAUCUUCAAGCAGAACAGUCAUUCUGAUCAAGCACAUUAUUUUUGGAAGAGAACUUUUUUCAUCAAUUGGCAUCUUCAAGUUCACUUACCAACUGUUUUCUAUAGUUCACUUUAAAACUCUUAUUUAUGCUUUGAUCCAUUGGUUGCAAUUUUGAGGUGAAAUGAAUUUUCUAUUCCUUCUAAUCUAUGUUAAAAAGCUUGGUGGUCACUCCAUCCUACUCAUCAACCCCUCACUUACUGCCAGAAUCAUUGUAUUCUUUUUAAGUAAUGGAAGUGCAGAGAAAGGGAUCAAAAUUCUAAGAAACACCCCCUACCUGUUCAUCUCUACUCCCUGUGGGUUCACAAAAUUCAUCUCCGUCUGCAAGUUCUACUGACAAAGAAAGUUAUGUUGUUUGGACAUUUCUGCUCUAUUAUUAGAAAUUCGAAAAACGGAGGUUUUGGAAAAGAUGCUCAAUAUAAACACGGAAAAUACAUUGAUUUUAGAUAGUAAAUAUAAGAAAUUUUGAGAUAAAGAGGUUCGAGAUAAACAGGUUCAACUGUACUUGAUUGCUAAUUGUAAAAACAUGAAUUUACUUGUAAAACACAUUUAUCUAGUAACUGUUUAAUGUUUUAACACAUUUCGCAUUUUGUUAACUGUACAUUUUGAACUUAUAAGUGUUGUUUUGUGGGAAUUUUGUAUAAAAAAAAAUAUCAUAUUUUAUGUAUUUCUAUAAUUUAAUGAAAAUUAAGUAAAUAAAAUGAUUGCUGAUUU